rnacentral:rRNA from 1 species
AUUGAACGCUGGCGGCAUGCCUUACACAUGCAAGUCGAACGGCAGCACGGGAGCAAUCCUGGUGGCGAGUGGCGAACGGGUGAGUAAUAUAUCGGAACGUGCCCAGUCGUGGGGAUAACGUAGAGAAAUUUACGCUAAUACCGCAUACGAUCUAAGGAUGAAAGCGGGGGGACCGUAAGGCCUCGCGCGAUUGGAGCGGCUGAUAUCAGAUUAGGUUGUUGGUGAGGUAAAAGCUCACCAAGCCGACGAUCUGUAGCUGGUUUGAGAGAACGACCAGCCACACUGGGACUGAGACACGGCCCAGACUCCUACGGGAGGGCAGCAGUGGGGGAAUUUUGGACAAUGGGCGAAAGCCUGAUCCAGCAAUGCCGCGUGCAGGAAGAAGG